UCCGGGCACGGUGGCGCGUGCCUGUAGUCCCAGCUACUCGGGAGGCUGAGGUGGGAGGAUCGCUUGAGCCCAGGAGUUCUGAGCUGUAGUGCACUAUGCCGAUUGGGUGUCCGCACUAAGUUCCGCAUCAUUAUGGUGACCUCCUGGGAGCAGGCGACCACCAGGUUGCCUAAGGAGGGGUGAACUGGCCCAGGUCGGAAACAGAGCAGGUCAAAACUCCUGUGCUGAUCAGUAGUGGGAUAGUGCCUGUGAACAGCCACUGCACUCCGGCCUGGACAACAAAGUGAGACCCCGUCUCU
rnacentral:SRP_RNA from 1 species